UACAGAGGGUGCAAGCGUUAAUCGGAUUUACUGGGCGUAAAGCGCGCGUAGGCGGCUAAUUAAGUCAAAUGUGAAAUCCCCGAGCUUAACUUGGGAAUUGCAUUCGAUACUGGUUAGCUAGAGUGUGGGAGAGGAUGGUAGAAUUCCAGGUGUAGCGGUGAAAUGCGUAGAGAUCUGGAGGAAUACCGAUGGCGAAGGCAGCCAUCUGGCCUAACACUGACGCUGAGGUGCGAAAGCGUGGGGAGCAAACAGGG
rnacentral:rRNA from 1 species